rnacentral:miRNA from 1 species
UGGGAUCCAUGUUGUUGUCCACUGCCCUCUUUCUGUUGCACUACUGGACACUGACAUGAGCAGUGCAAUAUUAAAAGGGCAUUGGAUGAUUGAAAAGAAA